rnacentral:lncRNA from 1 species
AAGAAAUAUAAAAAAAUCAUAAAUUAAUCUUAAUGAAACAUAUAUAAUAAAAAAAUAUUAUAAAAACAUCAAAAAUAAUUUUUUUGAUUAAUCCUAAUCAAACCUCAAUAUAACCUUCAACAAAUUUUAAUCAAAUCUUUAAUCAAUUCCAAUCAAAUCUUAAUAAAAUCCUAAAUUAUAAUCAAAUCUUAGACAAAUCGUAAUCAAAUUUUAAUCAAAUUUGAAAUUCUAAUCCUUGAAAAAAUCUUAUUUAAAUUCAAAUUAUAUUCUAAUUAAAUCCUAAUCAAUUUUUAAUCAAAUCUUAAUCAAAUCUUAAUCAAAUCCUAGAUAAAUUCUAAUGAAAUCUUUAAGCAAAUUCUAAAUCCUAACCUUAGACCAAAUCUUAUUCAAAAUCUAAAUAAAUCCUAUUCAAAUCCUAAAUCCUAAUCUUAGAUCAAAUACUAAUCAAAUCUUAUUCAAAUCCUAAUCUUAAUCAAAUCUUAGACAAAUCCUAAAUCCUAAUCAAAUCCUAAAUAAUCUUUAAUUAAAUUCUAAAUCUUAAACAAAUCCUAAAUCCUAAUCAAA